rnacentral:tRNA from 1 species
UCCUGAUAGCUCAGUUGGUAAAGAAUCUGCCUGCAAUGCAGGAGACCCUGGUUCAAUCCCUGGGUCAGGAA